UGCAGUCGAACGAUGAUGCCCAGCUUGCUGGGUGGAUUAGUGGCGAACGGGUGAGUAACACGUGAGUAACCUGCCCCUGACUCUGGGAUAAGCGUUGGAAACGACGUCUAAUACUGGAUAUGACUGCCGGCCGCAUGGUCUGGUGGUGGAAAGAUUUUUUGGUUGGGGAUGGACUCGCGGCCUAUCAGCUUGUUGGUGAGGUAAUGGCUCACCAAGGCGACGACGGGUAGCCGGCCUGAGAGGGUGACCGGCCACACUGGGACUGAGACACGGCCCAGACUCCUACGGGAGGCAGCAGUGGGGAAUAUUGCACAAUGGGCGAAAGCCUGAUGCAGCAACGCCGCGUGAGGGAUGACGGCCUUCGGGUUGUAAACCUCUUUUAGUAGGGAAGAAGCGUAAGUGACGGUACCUGCAGAAAAAGCACCGGCUAACUACGUGCCAGCAGCCGCGGUAAUACGUAGGGUGCAAGCGUUGUCCGGAAUUAUUGGGCGUAAAGAGCUCGUAGGCGGUUUGUCGCGUCUGCUGUGAAAUCCCGAGGCUCAACCUCGGGCUUGCAGUGGGUACGGGCAGACUAGAGUGCGGUAGGGGAGAUUGGAAUUCCUGGUGUAGCGGUGGAAUGCGCAGAUAUCAGGAGGAACACCGAUGGCGAAGGCAGAUCUCUGGGCCGUAACUGACGCUGAGGAGCGAAAGCGUGGGGAGCGAACAGGAUUAGAUACCCUGGUAGUCCACGCCGUAAACGUUGGGCGCUAGAUGUAGGGACCUUUCCACGGUUUCUGUGUCGUAGCUAACGCAUUAAGCGCCCCGCCUGGGGAGUACGGCCGCAAGGCUAAAACUCAAAGGAAUUGACGGGGGCCCGCACAAGCGGCGGAGCAUGCGGAUUAAUUCGAUGCAACGCGAAGAACCUUACCAAGGCUUGACAUACACCGGAAACGGCCAGAGAUGGUUGCCCCCUUGUGGUCGGUGUACAGGUGGUGCAUGGUUGUCGUCAGCUCGUGUCGUGAGAUGUUGGGUUAAGUCCCGCAACGAGCGCAACCCUCGUUCUAUGUUGCCAGCGCGUUAUGGCGGGGACUCAUAGGAGACUGCCGGGGUCAACUCGGAGGAAGGUGGGGAUGACGUCAAAUCAUCAUGCCCCUUAUGUCUUGGGCUUCACGCAUGCUACAAUGGCCGGUACAAAGGGCUGCGAUACCGUAAGGUGGAGCGAAUCCCAAAAAGCCGGUCUCAGUUCGGAUUGAGGUCUGCAACUCGACCUCAUGAAGUCGGAGUCGCUAGUAAUCGCAGAUCAGCAACGCUGCGGUGAAUACGUUCCCGGGCCUUGUACACACCGCCCGUCAAGUCAUGAAAGUCGGUAACACCCGAAGCCGGUGGCCUAACCC
rnacentral:rRNA from 1 species